GACGAACGCUGGCGGCGUGCUUAACACAUGCAAGUCGAACGGUGAAGGGACUGGUUUUGCUGGUCCUGGAUGAGUGGCGAACGGGUGAGUAACACGUGAGUAACCUGCCCCCUUCUUCUGGAUAACCGCAUGAAAGUGUGGCUAAUACGGGAUAUUCUGGGUCUGUCGCAUGGUGGGCCUGGGAAAGAUUGCGCCUUUUUUGGUGUUUUUGGUGGGGGAUGGGCUCGCGGCCUAUCAGCUUGUUGGUGGGGUGAUGGCCUACCAAGGCGGUGACGGGUAGCCGGGCUGAGAGGGUGGACGGUCACACUGGGACUGAGACACGGCCCAGACUCCUACGGGAGGCAGCAGUGGGGAAUAUUGCACAAUGGGCGCAAGCCUGAGGCAGCGACGCCGCGUGAGGGAUGGAGGCCUUCGGGUUGUGAACCUCUUUCGCCAGUGAAGCAGGCCUGCCUCUUUUUGUGGGUGGGUUGACGGUAGCUGGAUAAGAAGCGCCGGCUAACUACGUG
rnacentral:rRNA from 1 species